UUAGCCCUAAACCUAGAUAUUUAUAUACAAAAAUAUCCGCCAGAGAAUUACGAGCAAAACGCUUAAAACUCUAAGGACUUGGCGGUGCCUCAAACCCACCUAGAGGAGCCUGUUCUAUAAUCGAUAACCCACGAUCCACCUCACCAUCUCUUGCCAACCAGCCUAUAUACCACCGUCGCCAGCUUACCCUGUGAGGAUACAAAAGUAAGCAAGAUAAUAUAAACCAUUAACAAGUCAGGUCAAGGUGUAGCUAACUGAGAUGGAAGAAAUGGGCUACAUUUUCUAUACUAGAAAUAACACUCACGGAAAGGAACCAUGAAACAGUCCAGCAAGUAGGAUUUAGCAGUAAACUGGGAACAGAGAGCCCAAUUUAAACCGGUCCUGAGGUGCGC
rnacentral:rRNA from 1 species